AUUGAACGCUGGCGGCAGGCCUAACACAUGCAAGUCGAGCGCGCGGCGGGCGGGUGAGUAAUGUCUGGGAAACUGCCUGCUGGAGGGGGAUAACUACUGGAAACGGUAGCUAAUACCGCAUACCCUCUGAUGUGCCCAGAUGGGAUUAGCUAGUAGGUGGGGUAACGGCGCACCUAGGCGACGAUCCCUAGCUGGUCUGAGAGGGUGACCCUCCACACUGGAACUGAGACACGGUCCAGACUCCUACGGGAGGCAGCAGUGGGGAAUAUUGCACAAUGGGCGCAAGCCUGAUGCAGCCAUGCCGCGUGUAUGAAGAAGGCCUUCGGGUUGUAAAGUACUUUCAGCGGGGAGGCGUUACCCGCAGAAGAAGCACCGGCUAACUCCGUGCCAGCCGCCGCGGUAAUUC
rnacentral:rRNA from 1 species